CCUGCCCAYUGACAUAGUUUAACGGCCGCGGUAUACUGACCGUGCGAAGGUAGCAUAAUAAUUAGUCUUUUAAUUGGAGGCUGGUAUGAAUGGUUGGACAAGAGCUAAUCUGUCUUUAUUAUAAUAGUUGAACUUAACUUUUAAGUUAAAAGGCUUAAAUAAAUUAGCGGGACGAUAAGACCCUAUAAAGCUUUACAUAAAGCUUUGUGUUAGGUGAAAUUGGUAAUUAAUAUUUAAAAUAAAGUGUAUGUUGUGCUGGGGCGGCAAGGGUAAAAUUUGUAACUGUUCUUGUUUUUGGACAAUUAUUUUUGUGUUGUAAAGGAUCCUUUCUAGUGAUUAAAAGAUUAAGUUACUUUAGGGAUAACAGCGUAAUUUUCUUUGAGAGUUCAUAUCGAGAAGAAAGAUUGCGACCUCGAUGUUGAAUUAAGAUUUCUUUAUGGUGUAGCAGCUAUUUUAGAGGGUCUGUUCGACCUUU
rnacentral:rRNA from 1 species